AUUUGUUGAUCUUUCAGGUCUCUUCCACUGAGUUUAUGGUUCCAUGAAUCAUUCCUCGGACACAGGCCAAGUCAGUGAUGAAGUGGUCUGGGGAGUCGUGGGGUCAGAGUUGAAAUGGAGAUGUAGUGAGGGGUGAGAACCGGGGUUCCGAGGGAGGAGAUGCUAAAUGACAGCACAGUGUCAGGAAAUAAGUUUUUUCCCUUGCAAAACUUGGUAAUCAGACGGGAUAUCGGAGAAGUGCACUGGUAGAGAGAAGCAUUAGCCAGUUAGAGAAUGGCAGGGGGGUGGUGGCCUGGUCAAGGGGGAGGACAAGUCCAGGGGUGUUGUGGAUGAAGAAGAUGGCUGCAAUCUCACCCUCCAUUGCUCCCAAAGGAAGGACAAUGCCAUUGUCUUCUGAGUUCAUCUGCAAACACAAAAAAGAACAACUACUGCCUUGGAUACUACAUUGUAAUGUAAAACCUGCGCGAUUUUCUGAGUGGAAACAAAGGAAGGGAAAGAAGAUUAAUGAAGACCUGAGCUACAGUUCCAAAACUCUUUCCAUUCUGCCUGUCAAGGAAAAGCCAGCCCUUCAGUCUCUUCUCUUCAGUGCCCUCGGCUAUCAAAACCAAAGACAUUGA
rnacentral:lncRNA from 1 species